UACGGGGGGAGCAAGCGUUGUUCGGAUUUACUGGGCGUAAAGGGCGCGUAGGCGGCCACCGCAAGUCGACUGUGAAAUCUCCGGGCCUUAACCCGGAAAGGUCAGCCGAUACUGCGGGGCUAGAGUGCAGAAGGGGCAACUGGAAUUCUCGGUGUAGCGGUGAAAUGCGUAGAUAUCGGAAGGAACAUCAGUGGCGAAAGCGACUUCCUGGACCAAUACUGACGCUCAUGUGCGAAAGCGUGGGGAGCAAACAGG
rnacentral:rRNA from 1 species